UGAGGCCUUCGGACUGGCCCAGGGAGGUCGGCAACGACCACCCAGGGCCGGAAAGUUGGUCAAACUCGGUCAUUUAGAGGAAGUAAAAGUCGUAACAAGGUCUCCGUAGGUGAACCUGCGGAGGGAUCAUUA
rnacentral:rRNA from 2 species